rnacentral:rRNA from 1 species
UGGGGAAUUUUGGACAAUGGGCGAAAGCCUGAUCCAGCAAUGCCGCGUGUGUGAAGAAGGCCUUCGGGUUGUAAAGCACUUUUGUCCGGAAAGAAAUCCUUGGCUCUAAUACAGUCGGGGGAUGACGGUACCGGAAGAAUAAGCACCGGCUAACUACGUGCCAGCAGCCGCGGUAAUACGUAGGGUGCAAGCGUUAAUCGGAAUUACUGGGCGUAAAGCGUGCGCAGGCGGUUUGCUAAGACCGAUGUGAAAUCCCCGGGCUCAACCUGGGAACUGCAUUGGUGACUGGCAGGCUAGAGUAUGGCAGAGGGGGGUAGAAUUCCACGUGUAGCAGUGAAAUGCGUAGAGAUGUGGAGGAAUACCGAUGGCGAAGGCAGCCCCCUGGGCCAAGUACUGACGCUCAUGCACGAAAGCGUGGGGAGCAAACAGGAUUAGAUACCCCUGGUAGUCCACGCCCUAAANGAUGUCAACUAGUUGUUGGGGAUUCAUUUCCUUAGUAACGUAGCUAACGCGUGAAGUUGACCGCCUGGGGAGUACGGUCGCAAGAUU